AGAGAGAGACAUGCGCGCAUAUCAAUAAGCGGAGGAAAAGAAACUAACAAGGAUUCCCUUAGUAACGGCGAGUGAAGCGGGAAGAGCUCAAAUUUGAAAUCUUCAAGGUUCUACCUUGACGAAUUGUAGUUUAUAGAAGUGUUUUCUGUUAGUGGAGUUUGGUAAAAGUUCUUUGGAAUAGGACAUCAUAGAGGGUGAGAAUCCCGUAUUUGGUCAUUCCUCCUAGCGUUGUGAUACACUUUCAACGAGUCGGAUUGUUUGGGAAUGCAGUCCAAAAUGGGUGGUAAAUUUCAUCUAAAGCUAAAUAUUGGCGAGAGACCGAUAGCGAACAAGUACCGUGAGGGAAAGAUGAAAAGAACUUUGAAAAGAGAGUUAAACAGUACGUGAAAUUGUCAAAAGGGAAGCGUUUGACACCAGUGUUGUUUUCUCGAAAAUCAAUUACAAAUGGUUUGGAUUUUGAUGUAGUUAUGACUUCAUCAGCUUUCUGCACUUUCUUUACUAUCUUUCUUAAUGCACUUUUCGUUUAACAAGUCAACAUCAAUUUCUUUUGUUGUAAAAGGGUACGAGGAAGGUGGCUUUCUUUUCGGAGAAAGUGUUUAUAGCCUUGUACCUCUGCAAUCGGAGAGAUUGAGGUCUGCAGCGUAGAUCCUUCGGGGUUAGAUACAUUUGUGCUAAGUUAUAGCUUUUCAUAGACAUCUUGUUGACUAUGUUUAGUCUUGUAGCUUACUCGCUUAUGCUAUUUUACCUACGCUUAGGAUGUUGAUCUGUAGUGCGUGCGC
rnacentral:rRNA from 1 species